CGGCAGCGUCGCAACGGUCAAUAGGAUCAACGGUUGGAAGUGGCUCUACCGAUAUCUGCCAGCUUCCUCGACCGGUUCAUGCUAAACGACGCCGCUGUGGCCAAGUGUGGCUUCGUCGCCACCCUGACCUCGCCAACCUCAGCCGGGAAACCCUGCAUGCACUUCUGGUUCCAGUGCGGGUUCGGGCUGGCCCGAACCAGCGGGCUCAGGCAGAACGUCAGACCCGACACAUUCUUAAUCGGACCCGAACGCGUCCGCCGAGACGGCGUGGCCUGCACCGGAGUCCUCUUCCAAUCCGGCGUCGAUGAGUCCCCGCUGCCGGAGGCCGAUCGGUCGCAGUCGUCCUCGCAGCCACCGCCGCCUGCGUCGUGCGUUAAAUCCGGCGACAUUCCGCGCGCUCUUCUGUGGCGAGAUCUCACGCGGAUCGUGGACUCGUCGGAGUAGAAUUGCUUCGAUUGCUUCCCUCUUUUCCCGGCGAAGAUCGUCGAGAACCACGACGGCGACGGCGCGGACGUCGAAGUCGAGUCCCGCGACGAAACCCUAGGAUCCGUCCAGAACUUGUCGGAUCUGGACCGGAACAGACUCGUCAGGAGCGAAAACUUGGGCUUGCUCUUCUUGUACGAGCCUCCGAUAGUGGCGGCUCCUCCGUCGUAGGUAGGCCCCACCUGGGGAGUACUGUAGAAGCGGAUAUGAUGGCGCUGGUGGUUGUGGUCGUGGUCGUGAUCGGAGCGAUUGUGGUGGUGCAGCCAGGCGGAGUCGUCGGAUUUGCGGCGGGAAACGUAGGGGGAGACGGAGCGGGGGAAGAUGAGCGGCGGGGGGUUGGGGUCGGACUUGAGGGGUUCUUCGGGAGCGACGCCGUUGCUGCGGGAGUGGUGGCGGGAGAGCUGAGCCUGGAGUUGUAAUUGGGCCUGGGCUCGGGUCUGGGCCUCGAUGAUGGCGGUCAGUCGUUCCCGGAGACAAGAGGCGCAGACGCCGACGGCGCUUGUGAGGUCGGCGGCG
rnacentral:lncRNA from 1 species